AUUGAACGCUGGCGGCAGGCCUAACACAUGCAAGUCGAGCGGAUGAAGGGAGCUUGCUCCUGGAUUCAGCGGCGGACGGGUGAGUAAUGCCUAGGAAUCUGCCUGGUAGUGGGGGAUAACGUCCGGAAACGGGCGCUAAUACCGCAUACGUCCUGAGGAGAAAGUGGGGGAUCUUCGGACCUCACGCUAUCAGAUGAGCCUAGGUCGGAUUAGCUAGUUGGUGGGGUAAAGGCCUACCAAGGCGACGAUCCGUAACUGGUCUGAGAGGGUGAUCAGUCACACUGGAACUGAGACACGGUCCAGACUCCUACGGGAGGCAGCAGUGGGGAAUAUUGGACAAUGGGCGAAAGCCUGAUCCAGCCAUGCCGCGUGUGUGAAGAAGGUCUUCGGAUUGUAAAGCACUUUAAGUUGGGAGGAAGGGCAGUAAGUUAAUACCUUGCUGUUUUGACGUUACCAACAGAAUAAGCACCGGCUAACUUCGUG
rnacentral:rRNA from 1 species